rnacentral:rRNA from 1 species
GACGAACGCUGGCGGCGUGCUUAACACAUGCAAGUCGAACGGAAAGGCCUCUUUCGGGGGGUACUCGCGUGGCGAACGGGUGAGUAACACGUGAGUAACCUGCCCUUGACUUUGGGAUAACUUCAGGAAACUGGGGCUAAUACCGGAUAGGAGCUCCUGCUGCAUGGUGGGGGUUGGAAAGUUUCGGCGGUUGGGGAUGGACUCGCGGCUUAUCAGCUUGUUGGUGGGGUAGUGGCUUACCAAGGCUUUGACGGGUAGCCGGCCUGAGAGGGUGACCGGCCACAUUGGGACUGAGAUACGGCCCAGACUCCUACGGGAGGCAGCAGUGGGGAAUAUUGCACAAUGGGUGGAAGCCUGAUGCAGCAACGCCGUGUGCGGGAUGACGGCCUUCGGGUUGGAAACCGCUUUCGCUCAUGACGAAGCUUUGUGUGACGGUAGUGGGUAAAGAAGCACCGGCUAACUACGUG